AUUGAACGCUGGCGGCAUGCCUUACACAUGCAAGUCGAACGGCAGCACGGGUGCUUGCACCUGGUGGCGAGUGGCGAACGGGUGAGUAAUACAUCGGAACGUACCUUAUCGUGGGGGAUAACGCAGCGAAAGCUGUGCUAAUACCGCAUACGCCCUGAGGGGGAAAGCGGGGGAUCGAAAGACCUCGCGCGAUUAGAGCGGCCGAUGCCUGAUAGCGUGUUGGUGGGGUAAAAGCCCACCAAGGCGACGAUCAGUAGCUGGUCUGAGAGGACGAUCAGCCACACUGGGACUGGGACACGGCCCAGACUCCUACGGGAGGCAGCAGUGGGGAAUUUUGGACAAUGGGGGCAACCCUGAUCCAGCAAUGCCGCGUGAGUGAAGAAGGCCUUCGGGUUGUAAAGCUCUUUUGUCAGGGAAGAAACACCGGCUCUAACACAGUCCGGGAAUGACGGUACCUGAAGAAUAAGCACCGGCUAACUACGUGCCAGCCGCCGCCGUAA
rnacentral:rRNA from 1 species